CCAGAGAACUUAGCAGAGAUGCUUUGGUGCCUUCGGGAACUCUGAGACAGGUGCUGCAUGGCUGUCGUCAGCUCGUGUUGUGAAAUGUUGGGUUAAGUCCCGCAACGAGCGCAACCCUUAUCCUUUGUUGCCAGCGGCUCGGCCGGGAACUCAAAGGAGACUGCCGGUGAUAAACCGGAGGAAGGUGGGGAUGACGUCAAGUCAUCAUGGCCCUUACGGCCAGGGCUACACACGUGCUACAAUGGCGCAUACAAAGAGAAGCGACCUCGCGAGAGCAAGCGGACCUCAUAAAGUGCGUCGUAGUCCGGAUUGGAGUCUGCAACUCGACUCCAUGAAGUCGGAAUCGCUAGUAAUCGUAGAUCAGAAUGCUACGGUCGAAUACGUUCCCGGGCCUUGUACACACCGCCCGUCACACCAUGGGAGUGGGUUGCAAAAGAAGUAGGUAGCUUAACCUUCGGGAGGGCGCUUACCACUUUGUGAUUCAUGACUGGGGUGAAGUCGUAACAAGGUAAGCGUAGCGAG
rnacentral:rRNA from 1 species